GCAGCUAAUUCAGCAAGGCUGGGAAAUUGAGAGUUUGAUGUGGGGCCAUAAUAUACUUGCUAAUACAUCAGACCCCCAUCCCUGCACUUAUACCGAUGCCAAGCCCCACCAGUCUUUGAGCAUUCCGCGAAAAGACAUUGCUGGCAAUAGCAUCAAGCUCUGCAAAGGAAGCACCAAAUCUACAAAGUGCACACCUCCGACAAAAACUUUCUGUCCUAUCCAAAGGGAUAAGUGGUUUCUAUCCUCCACUAAGAGGUUGAAUGAGCCAGAUAAAGAGUAGGACCUAGAAACCAGGGGAGAGAAACAAGUCAAUGCUGUGGGAAGAAACGAGUCUAUUUAAGUAUACUUUCUUCUCUCAGACACCCUAUUCAUGCUUCCAAGAAAUAUACAGCUGGAUAAAUUUACAAAACUGUGAGUGUCACCAUUUUAAUUUCCAAAUUAGAUGUACUAAGUUCAUAAAAAUCUAUUAU